rnacentral:ribozyme from 1 species
CGUUUUUCCCAAAUGAAUUAUCCCACAGAACUAGAUGAAUUCCUAGAGUGUUACAUUGACGAUCCCGAGGCAUGUGAAGAAGAAAAUGAUGUGCGUAUAAAAACACUGACUGUGUGACCUAUUUUUGUCAUCGAUACUCAUUUCAAAAUCUCAUGUAUCAACAUUGAAUAUAUAUUUU